GAUGAACGCUAGCGGCAGGCCUAACACAUGCAAGUCGAGGGAGAGGUUACCUUCGGGUAACCAAAACCGGCGCACGGGUGCGUAACGCGUAUACAAUCUGCCUUUCACAUAGGGAUAGCCCGAAGAAAUUUGGAUUAAUACCUAAUGGUAUAUAAGAGCGGCAUCGUUUUUAUAUUAAAGCUACGGUGGUGAAAGAUGAGUAUGCGUUCUAUUAGCUAGUUGGAGAGGUAACGGCUCCCCAAGGCGACGAUAGAUAGGGGUUCUGAGAGGGAUGCCCCCCACACUGGUACUGAGAUACGGACCAGACUCCUACGGGAGGCAGCAGUGAGGAAUAUUGGACAAUGGUCGGAAGACUGAUCCAGCCAUGCCGCGUGCAGGAUGAAGGUCCUAUGGAUUGUAAACUGCUUUUGUAAGGGAAGAAUAAGGAGUACGUGUACUUUGAUGACGGUACCUUACGAAUAAGCAUCGGCUAACUCCGUG
rnacentral:rRNA from 1 species